rnacentral:rRNA from 1 species
GACGAACGCUGGCGGCGUGCUUAACACAUGCAAGUCGAACGGUGAAGUCCUUCGGGGUGGAUCAGUGGCGAACGGGUGAGUAACACGUGAGCAACCUGCCCUCAGCUCUGGGAUAACCACCGGAAACGGUGGCUAAUACCGGAUAGGACGUGCCCGGGCAUCCGGGUGUGUGGAAAGAUUUAUCGGCUGGGGAUGGGCUCGCGGCCUAUCAGCUUGUUGGUGGGGUGAUGGCCUACCAAGGCGACGACGGGUAGCCGGCCUGGGAGGGCGACCGGCCACACUGGGACUGAGACACGGCCCAGACUCCUACGGGAGGCAGCAGUGGGGAAUAUUGCACAAUGGGCGCAAGCCUGAUGCAGCGACGCCGCGUGAGGGAUGACGGCCUUCGGGUUGUAAACCUCUUUCAGCUCCGAAGAAGCUUCGGUGACGGUAGGAGCAGAAGAAGCACCGGCUAACUACGUGCCAGCAGCCGCGGUAAUACGUAGGGUGCAAGCGUUGUCCGGAAUUAUUGGGCGUAAAGAGCUCGUAGGCGGUGUGUCGCGUCUGCUGUGAAAACUCAGGGCUCAACUCUGAGCUUGCAGUGGGUACGGGCACACUUGAGUGCUGUAGGGGAGACUGGAAUUCCUGGUGUAGCGGUGAAAUGCGCAGAUAUCAGGAGGAACACCGGUGGCGAAGGCGGGUCUCUGGGCAGUUACUGACGCUGAGGAGCGAAAGCAUGGGGAGCGAACAGGAUUAGAUACCCUGGUAGUCCAUGCCGUAAACGUUGGGCGCUAGGUGUGGGGUCCAUUCCACGGAUUCCGUGCCGCAGCUAACGCAUUAAGCGCCCCGCCUGGGGAGUACGGCCGCAAGGCUAAAACUCAAAGGAAUUGACGGGGGCCCGCACAAGCGGCGGAGCAUGCGGAUUAAUUCGAUGCAACGCGAAGAACCUUACCAAGGCUUGACAUGCGCGGUGGAAUCCCAGAGAUGGGGUGUCAUUUAGUUGGUCGCGUACAGGUGGUGCAUGGUUGUCGUCAGCUCGUGUCGUGAGAUGUUGGGUUAAGUCCCGCAACGAGCGCAACCCUCGUUCCAUGUUGCCAGCACUUCGGGUGGGGACUCAUGGGAGACUGCCGGGGUCAACUCGGAGGAAGGUGGGGAUGACGUCAAAUCAUCAUGCCCCUUAUGUCUUGGGCUUCACGCAUGCUACAAUGGCCAGUACAGAGGGCUGCGAUACCGUGAGGUGGAGCGAAUCCCAAAAAGCUGGUCUCAGUUCGGAUCGGGGUCUGCAACUCGACCCCGUGAAGUCGGAGUCGCUAGUAAUCGCAGAUCAGCAACGCUGCGGUGAAUACGUUCCCGGGCCU